UUUCUCCUUCGGCUGUGAGUCAAGGAAACAAAGAUAUAGGAAGGCGACAAGGUGGCGCAGAUGGUGUGUGAUGCCAGGACUAUGGAAGAGACUUGGGACGUUAUUAAGUUUUCCGCAUUUUAAUAAUUAAUAAGCAUUCGAAGAUGUAUUUUAUGUUCAUGUCAUUUGAGAUUAUUUUUGUUUAGAUUGCAUGGUGAUGAGUUCUAUUUAAUAAGUAGUUAUUUUGAUGUUUGUCACU